rnacentral:rRNA from 1 species
CCCUUAGAUGUUCUGGGCCGCACGCGUGCUACACUGAGUGGAUCAGCGGGUCAGGUUGCGCGAAAGCGUUUCCUAAUCUUUAAAUCCGCUCGUGAUGGGGAUUGACGGUUGCAAUCUUCUGUCAUGAACGAGGAAUACCUUGUAAGCGCGGGUCAUCAUCCCGCGCUGAAUACGUCCCUGCCCUUUGUACACACCGCCCGUCGCUCCUACCGAUUGAGUGGUCCGGUGAGGCUUUGGGAUCUGAGCGGAAAGAGCGUUUCGCUGUUUCUGCUCGGAAAACUCAGUCGAACCUUAUCAUUUAGAGGAAGGAGAAGUCGUAACA